UACGGAGGAUGCAAGCGUUAUCCGGAUUCAUUGGGUUUAAAGGGUGCGUAGGCGGACUAUCAAGUCAGUGGUGAAAGCCUGCAGCUUAACUGCAGAACUGACAUUGAUACUGAUAGUCUUGAGUUUGGUUAAGGUAGGCGGAAUGUGUAAUGUAGCGGUGAAAUGCUUAGAUAUUACACAGAACACCAAUUGCGUAGGCAGCUUACUGAGCCGACACUGACGCUGAGGCACGAAAGCGUGGGGAUCGAA
rnacentral:rRNA from 1 species